rnacentral:lncRNA from 1 species
UUGAAUCUAACCAAUAAUACAAGAAAAUAUAAAAUAUAUAAAUAAACCUAUCUCAUCCUAUCAACUUAAGCUUUUAAAACAAGUGGUGAUUUUAACAUAGUAUCAGAACAGAGGUCCCGAGUUCAAACCCUGUCUCUGCACUCUUUAACUCCAUUAUUACAAAUUUCAAAUGAUGGGCUCACCCAUUAAAAAAAAAGUCUGGCCCACAUGUGAGGCUUAAGCUUUUGAGACAAGUAGUGAUUUUAAUAAAUCUAAUUAAUAUUACUCCUAAAAAUACAUAGUAAAGUUUGUCUGGUCGUCCUUAUGUAAUUAACUAAAAUUCCCUCUCUUAAAUUAAAUAAAAUAGUAUAAGUACGAUUGUUGUGGAUGAUGUGGUGCAUCCUUUUUCUCCCUUUCUUCUGCCUCUCGCUCUAGCCAUUCUUCUUCUCUGAUAAAAUCACAUCUUAAUUAAUCACAAUCCAUUUCCUCCUGUGGACCUCCUAUUCUCCUAUGUUAUGAAACCUAGCUCAUCAAUUGCUUCAUUGCAUCCGUUUAUUCUUUCCAAAUUAACUAUAUCUAUAACGCUGCUCUCUUCCAUCGGCAGUUUCUCUACCCUCUUCCCUCUUUUUUGGGGAGGGAUCCAGAGUUGGAAGGCCUCCCCCUCUCUCUCAAAC